ensembl:lncRNA
GACACAGGUUGGGACGGAACUCUACUGGAAGGUGGCUCUCCAGGACCAGGGGGGGAGAUUGUCCGAGAACCCCUGCCCUGCACACUGAGAUGUCUUCUCUGCUUCGAAUUGUUUUUCCUCUUGAAGAAGUAGAACUGAAGACUCCUGUAGAUGGACAGUCCACCAGCGUUACACACAUCAGAAUUAAGGAGUGAACUCAUGACUACUGAGAGCGUCUCGGUCAUCGACUUACCACACUGGGAAAGUGGAAAAAGGAGGAUUCGGUUCUUAUAUCUAGCUGGAAACAACUCCUUUAAAGUUACCAAACAGAAUACAAAUGAGGAGCAGAUGAUUCCCCUCUUCCUUGGAGCCGAUCUCUUUUCUAACACAGAUAUCCGCACUGAGAACCAUCCUAGAUACCACGGAAAAUUUGCCAAAAAAGGACUGGCAACAAAACUGGUUUUCUCCUCAGCCUUCAGGUUCCAAGGCAUUCGACUUCCUUGCUCCAAUAAUGGCUUGUGGUUCUACUGUAUUCAUGGCGUUUUCCGGGUGGCCUUUGAUCUUUACAGUAAAGAAGAGCAGCUUUCAGUCUUGGAGUCAUUUCAGGAUCUCUGGAAGUCCCGAAUCAAUGAUGAGCAAUUAAACAUGGUUUACAACCUGCAUGUCCAACUGCCAACAACUACCAGCUACCAUGGUGACAAAGAGAUAUCACAUGAACAUGCUUCUAAUAACAUAUCUGCGCCUACCCCUGCCCAUUCAGGACCUCAAGAGGUAGAAGACUUUGUCAUCUCAGAGCCAGUGUCUGGUUUACCAGAAGAGUCGUCAUCCGUGGACCAUGACUACUGCUCCUUAUCAGAGCAGGCAAAGUUUAAGCAGUCUAGUCUGCUAGCUGAGAAACUCUGCAUUAUAGGUGACAAGUUAAAGUCCAUCAAUACAAUGGAUAAAAGUCAAGAAGAAACUAUCUUGAAGUUUCUAGAUUAUGCUGAAUAUUGGAUUAGCGGAGGGCAAGACGAGGAAAGGUUGACAGGCGCUGUGAUGACUUUACUUCGGACUCAUUCGCAAGGAUACUCAAUCUACUCCAGUCUUUUGCUGCAAGCGCUGGCUGGCUGGCUGGGUCAGAAGUUUCAUUCAGCCAACAGUAGCAUAAGCCAGCAGGUAGAAACCUUCAAAAUGCGACACAUUGAACACAUUACAGACUUGCCUCCUGCUGAGGAACUUGCCACAGAACUCUUUCCAGAGGCAAUGCGGAACCUGAUGAUAAACUGGAUGGGUCUGGGUGAAGAGGCAGCCACAUGGAAAAGACUCAGUGAAUAUCCAAUUGUACUGCUUAUACUGGAAUUCGCCAACCAUAACCUCAUCACAGGAGUGGCCCAUGUACUAUAUUCCAGUCUCAUAAGCAGGUAG